rnacentral:lncRNA from 1 species
AGCUAUUGUUAGUGUUAGUGUAUUUUUUGUGUGGCCCAAGACAAUCUUCUUCCAGUGUGGCCCAGGGAAGCCAAAAAAUUGGACACACUUGAUGUAAACAUUUCAAGAAAAUUCAGACUAUAUGAUCACUCAAGACAGCCGAUUCACCAGCCUUCUGAAGGGAAGACUAAGCAUAUUCCUAUAUUGAAGAAGGAAAGAUAUCCAUGAUGGUGAUGCCACUAAAUAGAAGCAUCUUGGAUCUUACUAUUUGGAGUAGAACCACACAAGGAGAAGCCAUCCAACCUACAUAAGACUAUGACGCUACCAUUGAAAUGGAAAAUUUGCUGGAGAAAGUUGAUUAAGUAACAUUUCACGGAAGAGGAGAAUUGUAAUAACCAUUUGAUAGAAGAGAGAUGUCCUUGAACUCAAUCUAUCCUGAAGAUGCUCCUGAGAGGGCAAACAAAUAACAUCUCUCUGGAAGGAUGCCUGCCUUUGUCAAAGCUUUCAAAUCUGUAUGACUUCUAUCUUUCCUUGGCUUCCCUUACUCAAUUAGUCAAGGAUCCUUGUGGAUGUUUAACAUAAAAUGUCACUCACAUCUGCCCUCCUCCUCAACUUUCCAUUCCAUCCUCUCCACAGAUGCCUGAUGCAUUUUCUUCUGACUCAGUCUUCUGUUUUUCAUGGAGAACACAGAGCAAGACAGAAGCUCCCAACUGUGGCAUCCAAGAGCAACUUGAGCUGCUCCCUUACUUAUCUCUGGUAAUGAUUUGAAUCCUUUGCUUUUGCCAGACUGACUCAUCUAGUCAUUGCUCCCCAAAUAUUCAUUUCCCCAUUAUUUCUUGUGGCCUAAGCACCAAAUUUUGUUCUUUCAAAAUCUACUCUUCCUUCAGGUCUGGCUCAAACUCUUUGUGAUGACUGUUCUACCAUAUGGCUUAAUAGCUAAGUACACAUGCAUUGACCUCAAGCCUUCCCACAGCUCAGGUUCCUGAGGCACAGACUCUGGAUGGAAAUUAGCACAUAAUAGGUUUAUUAGAAAGUGCUCUUGGAAUUAACAUCUUUGGAGGAAGAAAAGAAGCAAUAUUGUCCAGAGAGGGAAGUUGAACUGCAAUGAAGUUGCCACAGAGGCUUCAAUGAAUCCUUCUGGGUGUAGAGCUGGGAUGACCUUUCCAGAGUUUUCCAAUUAAGGGAAUUGUAUCUCACCUCAAUCUCUAGUCUGAACCUUGGGUGAGGCAGCUUCUUUCAGCCAAUGGCAAUUCCUGGAGGCACCAGGAGUUAUGAGCAGUCAACACUCUUUCUUUGCUCCUGAGAAAAUUGAGUGCCCUCUUUGGUCCUGAAAGCAGCUCUGGGCAGCACUCCACAGCAUCCACUACAGACUUAGUGAGUUCACCCUGGCUCUCCCACUUACAGAUUGCAGGUUGCGGCAUGGGAUUGCAUCAGCCUAUGGGGAAGAAAAAGAAGAAAAUAGACAAUCUGCACAGAAUAUGUAAAAGGAGAACCAAAGCCCAAAGAGAAAAAUGCUGAGAAGUCGCCAGCAAAGAAAGCACAGUAAACAACAGCAGGGGCCGGGCGCAGUGGCUCACGCCUGUAAUCCCAACUACUCAGGAGGCUGAGG